rnacentral:snRNA from 1 species
ACACUCUUGUUUCUCUUCAGAUCGUAUAAAUCUUUCGCCUUUUACUAAAGAUUUUCGUGGAGAGGAACAAUAAGAGUUUCGCCCAAUUUUUUUUUUCUAUACUGUGUAUUGUG